GUAGGGAAUAUUGGGCAAUGGAUGCAAGUCUGACCCAGCCAUCCCGCGUGCCGGAAGAAGGCCCUCAGGGUUGUAAACGGCUUUUGACGGUGAAGAAUCGACAGGAUGCGUCCUGUUUUGACGGUAGCCGUUGAAUAAGCACCGGCUAACUCCGUGCCAGCAGCCGCGGUAAUACGGAGGGUGCGAGCGUUGUCCGGAUUUAUUGGGUUUAAAGGGUGCGUAGGCUGGAAGGUCAGUCAGCGGUGAAAAGCUGUCGCUUAACGAUAGUCUUGCCGCAGAUACUUCCUUUCUUGGAUGAGGAGGAGGCCACUGGAACGGAUGGUGUAGCGGUGAAAUGCAUAGAGAUCAUCCAGAACACCGAUUGCGAAGGCAGGUGGCUGUACCUUAAUCGACGCUGAUGCACGAAAGCAUGGGGAGCAAACAGGAUUAGAUACCCCUGUAGUCC
rnacentral:rRNA from 1 species